rnacentral:rRNA from 1 species
UACGUAGGGUGCAAGCGUUGCUCGGAAUCACUGGGCGUAAAGCGCACGUAGGCGGAUUGCUAAGUCAGGGGUGAAAUCCUGGAGCUCAACUCCAGAACUGCCUUUGAUACUGAGGAUCUUGAGUUCGGGAGAGGUGAGUGGAACUGCGAGUGUAGAGGUGAAAUUCGUAGAUAUUCGCAAGAACACCAGUGGCGAAGGCGGCCAACUGGUCCGGCACUGACGCUGAGGUGCGAAAGCGUGGGGAGCAAACGGGG